rnacentral:tRNA from 1 species
GUCCAGGGAUGCGAAACGAACCCACAGUGUUCCGCUUACCGGGAAGAUGCCAUGUCCACUAGGCUACCCUGGA